UGGGGAAUAUUGCGCAAUGGGCGAAAGCCUGACGCAGCGACGCCGCGUGUGGGAUGAAGGUCUUCGGAUCGUAAACCACUGUCGGGGGGACGCGAUACCCCCAACGGAAGCACCGGCUAACUCUGUGCCAGCAGCCGCGGUAAUACAGAGGGUGCGAGCGUUGUCCGGAAUCACUGGGCGUAAAGGGCGCGUAGGCGGCCCGUAAGUAGGGGGUGAAAUCUUGCGGCUCAACCGCAAGGCUGCCUCCUAGACUGUCAGCUUGAGCACGGCAGAGGCUGGUGGAAUUCCCGGUGUAGCGGUGGAAUGCGUAGAGAUCGGGAAGAACAUCGGUGGCGAAGGCGGCCAGCUGGGCCGUGCUGACGCUGAGGCGCGACAGCGUGGGGAGCAAACAGGAUUAGAUACCCCUGUAGU
rnacentral:rRNA from 1 species